UGGGUUAAGUCCCGCAACGAGCGCAACCCUUGUCAUUAGUUGCUACGAAAGGGCACUCUAAUGAGACUGCCGGUGACAAACCGGAGGAAGGUGGGGAUGACGUCAGGUCAUCAUGGCCCUUAUGGGUAGGGCUACACACGUCAUACAAUGGCCGGGACAGAGGGCUGCCAACCCGCGAGGGGGAGCUAAUCCCAGAAACCCGGUCGUAGUCCGGAUCGUAGUCUGCAACUCGACUGCGUGAAGUCGGAAUCGCUAGUAAUCGCGGAUCAGCUUGCCGCGGUGAAUACGUUCCCGGGUCUU
rnacentral:rRNA from 1 species